rnacentral:rRNA from 1 species
ACGGGAGGCAGCAGUGGGGAAUAUUGGACAAUGGGCGCAAGCCUGAUCCAGCGACGCCGCGUGAGUGAAGAAGUAUUUCGGUAUGUAAAGCUCUAUCAGCAGGGAAGAUAAUGACGGUACCUGACUAAGAAGCCCCGGCUAACUACGUGCCAGCAGCCGCGGUAAUACGUAGGGGGCAAGCGUUAUCCGGAUUUACUGGGUGUAAAGGGAGUGUAGAUGGCAUGGCAAGUCAGAUGUGAAAGCUCGGGGCUCAACCCCGGAACUGCAUUUGAAACUGUCAAGCUGGAGUGCAGGAGAGGAAAGUGGAAUUCCUAGUGUAGCGGUGAAAUGCGUAGAUAUUAGGAAGAACACCAGUGGCGAAGGCGGCUUUCUGGACUGUAACUGACAUUGAGGCUCGAAAGCGUGGGGAGCAAACAGGAUUAGAUACCCUGGUA